CCUCUCAUUUCCAGGCAGUGUUUGCUCCCUGACAACGUUUAUUUUCCUUCCUCUCCCUUGCUGGCCCGUUGAAUACCUGUUGCUAAUGUCCAUGCGUGACAGCUCUUGCGAACAUUCGAGGGCAGCUGCCAGAUAGCAGCGUGGAUGGCAGCCAGGCUGGCCGGUGGGUGAAGAAGAAUGUUUAGCCAAAAUAUGGUGUUUAUCUACAGUCCUAUCUCCUCUCACAUGGACUAGGGGAGGACCAGCUAUGUUCUAGCAAGGGAUUUGACAGAUUAAGCCUGCCUAUGACGGAGAAAACUUCAUGUGUUGGAUCUCUGGCUGUUAUGUAGCAAUUAAAGACAGAAGGGGAUGGGCCUACUUGGGGAAGAGCACCUGCAUGCUUGCAUGAAGAAUGUUUCAAGUUCCCUCCCUGGCAUCUCCGAGGCAGGGCUUAGAGACACGGGCUCCGCCUCCAACAGCACCCACACUGGCAUUACCUGCCCUGCCUAGUGCCCACCCAGCCCCAAGAGCCACCAGCCGCCACUGCUUGGAAGCGACAGCUGAAGCUUGUGUGUCUACAACCUCAAAAUAUGGCUAAUAAUCACAGUUGGUAGCAAAAUAAAGUAGCAUUCUGCUUGUGAUAUGACUUCUUGGUCACAUAACCUCCUUCAGUGCUUUUAACUGGCAGUGAAGAACCUUUUUCACUUAUGUUACUUAUGAGCUCUGUGAUCACAUUUCUCCAUAUGUUUACUGGGACAUGGAAGAAUGAAGCUUUGAAAGAAAUCUGCAUGUGGUGAUGGUAGGGAUUAUGAAGGUGGAGGUGUUGCUGAGUGUAAAGAUAAUAAUACCUGGAAUGUGCAACUCAGGUGUGAAAUCCCAAUAUGCCAAGCAGCAGUAUUUCAGGUAGAGGAUCAGGAAGGACAUCUGCCAGAGAUAAUGGAAAGUGGAGAGUGAGACCUGCUGCCAGUCAGAGCUGAAUGAAGCUAUUGAAGAGUUAUAAGUGUUCCUGUGUAGCAUACUUCAAAAACAGUCCUAAAUAUACUUUGGCAAAGAGCUCAAACAGAUAUCAAUUUCAAAAGGAUUGUAGUCUUGCUUAAGAAUCAGCACAUCAGUGUGUUUAUCUGAGCUCUUAGAUGCUCAUUUCAUGUCUUUUACUGGACUUAAGAAUGAGUUUAUGAAUCACACCAUUCCCAUAAAAUCCCUGUUUAGUUGUCUGCUUCUCUUCUUGGAGCCAACGUGAAAAAGAAAAGUUUAUUAAAACUUUCUUACUGUCUGAACACCACACUUGUUUGGUAUUGUUGCAGCAUUCAACAUCAGCACAUCCUUUCAAAAUUGAAACAACACCUUGCUUAUUUGCUGCAUUUAUUGAUCCUUGUAGUUGUAUUCAUCUUUUUGUGCUGUGGUGAAUAGUUUGGUAACUCUUAUUGUUCCUCACGGUUGGUGUAUUAAAUAACAUCUUACAUUUGCCUGUUGUAGUUCAAAAUGAGAAAUCAUCUCACAUGCGCACAUUUCCAAUGUUACAUAUUUUAUUUCAUUUCUUUCAUUUUGAGAUAAUAUGAGAGUAUGAAUAUUACAUUCUAUUUACCAACAAGUGAAAAGGAAAGUAAGAAACGAAGAAAUUAAUACAGAGUUCAGCAGUCCUUUUGUAAGAUAUAUUUAUGAGAGAUGGACACAAUGCAAUGGUUCUUAGACGUGGGAGCUGAUAGCUAGCAUUCUUGUUGAUAGCUGCAUUCUUCCUUGUAAAUGAAUUGAACUGAUAAAUGAUUCAUCGCCAAUAAUGCAGUAGUAAGAGGACUUGGGAUGUGAGAGGGCUAUUCCACAUGAAGUUCCCUGUUCUGGGAUGUAAUGCUACUGGAUUUUAACACUGUAUUAGUAUAGCAUUAAAGAUCUAAAACUAUAUCGAUUUAUAGCUUUGGAUAGAUCUAACGUUAUAUCCUUGGAUAAUAAAAAGGAGCAUGGCUA